rnacentral:ncRNA from 1 species
GCAAAGCAGAAGAAAUUUUGUGACGCAAAGCUAAAGGGCCUAAGGAGUUAUUUAUGGUAGCCAGUUGCAG